rnacentral:lncRNA from 1 species
GCAGCCGCUGAGGCCGGGGCAGGGGCUGGGGCUGGAGCGGGUGUGGACACAGCGACCGUUGGAAGCUCCUCAGGAGCUGGCCUGUUGCUGACCUUGUCCUGGGGGACAGGGGCUGAGAACAGGCCUGACACGUUGAAGUUGACGUCUGCAGACAGAAGGAAGCAGGUCUUAGCUUCCAGAACCUCCGCCAGCCUUCCCGCCUCGGCCAACAUCAGGGCCUCUUUCCUUUUCCCCCGACGUUAUCUGGACCACAUAUCACCUCCCUACUCCCACGUGAGCCUCACGACAAUCCCACGAGGCAGGCAGGAUCAUCCCCAUUGUACAGGGGAGACAGUGAGGCUCACGGCAGAGAAGCAAUUUGCUCCGGGCCUCAUAAUGAGGCCGCCAGGGACGGAAGCUAACUCUGGAGGGCACCCAGCUGGGCAGAUGAGGGCACAAGGGGACACGUUCACAAAGACGGGAACUUCACCUCCCGGGAAGAGGGUGUCCGCGUUCUGUAUCAGAGCCUCGACCACGCCCACCACCUGGAUGGAGGACACUGAGGCUGCGUCCAGCUGGGCCUGGUCCCUGGGGCAAAAAAAGGAACGGAGGUGAGCCAUCCAUUCUGCAACCUGUUAGCGACCCCAACUCUGUGUGGCCCAAUCACGCCAAGUGCCUGUUCUCAGAAAGCUCAGGGACCACCGGGGGAUGACAAAUGUGUCGCCCACGUGCCAAAUGUUCCCCUUCCUUCACCCACAACAGGCAUCGCUCGCCAGGGAUGGGACCCUCUUCCUCGUAGUUCUCGGCUCUAGGCUGCCUCGCCCAAGUAAUCGUCCUCAGCAAACGAAUGAAAUCUUUGUGCCAUCUGUGGCCGGGUGAAUUAUAAUGACCCCUCGCCCUUUACGGUGCAUAAAACAUUUCUCCAUUUUCUCGCCUAAUUCCCCACGCCAAACCCCUCAAAGUUGGUAAUGAUUUCUCUCCAAUUUACAGAGGAAGCAGUGGGAGCUCCGGAGAGUGAGCUUCCUAAAGGCAUUUCUGGAAGGUCGAGGGGCGGGGCUGGAAUGAAAUCACUGGGCUCCCAGCCUUCCAGGCAGCCCGCUACCAGUAUCACCCAGAAUGCCCAUCUCCAAAGCCCCGUGGGGUCCACGCUCCCUUCGGCAGCCUGGAGAAGAGGAGCUGCUUGAUCCACUCCAAGGAUGGGGAAACUGAGGCCCGGGGGAACAAAUAAGCAGCGGACGGGUGGGGUGGGGAUUGCCGCCUUCCCCCGAGCUGCAGCCCCUCACCCUUCUUUCUCGGGAGGCCACAGCAGGUUGGGCCCCAGGACGAUGGCAAUGUUGCUGGGCGUCAUUUUAUUCACCUCCUGCUCCUCGGCCAGCCGUGCCAGGAACUUCAUCAGGUACCUGGGGAGGCAGAAGGUGGGCUUGGCCAGGGACAGGGCGUCUUUGGCCAUGAACACCCAUUGACGCCCUUGAGGCCUGAGAAUUUCUCAGCCUGGGGUUUCCAAAGAGUGGCAAAGGUACCCCAUCGGGUGGCUUAAAAUUUGUUUUUGAUUGCUUUUAACAUUUAUUUAUUUAUUUAUUAUUAAAAAAAAAUUUUUUUUAACGUUUAUUUAUUAUUGAGAGAGAGAGAGAGACAGAGCGUGAGCAGGGAGGGCCAGAGAGACGGGGAGACACAGAAUCCGAAGGGGGCCCCAGGCUCCGAGCUGUCAGCCCGGAGCCCGACGCGGGGCUCGGACUCACGAACCGCGAGAUCACGACCCGAGCCGAAGUCGGGCGCUCAGCCGACUGAGCCACCCAGGCGCCCCAACAUUUAUUUAUUUUUGAGAGACAGAGCAAGACAGAGCAUGAGCGGGGGAGGGGCGGGGGCGGGGGCCACAGAAUCCAAAGCAGGCUCCAGGCUCUGAGCCAUCAGCACAGAGCCCGAUGCGGGGCUCGAUCCCCCGAACCGUUGCGAUCACGACCUGAGCUGAGAUCAAGAGUCAGAUGCCCGGGGCGCCUGGGUGGCGCAGUCGGUUAAGCGUCCGACUUCAGCCAGGUCACGAUCUCGCGGUCCGUGAGUUCGAGCCCCGCGUCGGGCUCUGGGCUGAUGGCUCGGAGCCUGGAGCCUGUUUCCGAUUCUGUGUCUCCCUCUCCCUCUGCCCCUCCCCCGUUCAUGCUCUGUCUCUCUCUCUGUCCCAAAAAUAAAUAAAUGUUGAAAAAAAAAAAAAAAAAAAAAAGAGUCAGAUGCCCCACCGACUGAACCACCCAGGCACCCCUAAAAUGUUUUAAUAGUUAAGUCGGCUGGCCUGCUGAGCACCAUAUAUGUGUCAGCCAUUGAGCUAAGCUGAGACUCUCCCAGCCACCCUGCGGGGUAGGGACUGCUAUGCUCUGUGCUUUCCAGAUGAGGGCACUGAGGCACAGAGCGGUCAGUUCACCUGCCUCGGACCACAAGGUGGCAGAGGUGGGAAUCUGAAGCCAGGUGGUGUGGCUUCAGAGGUUCAAGGUGUGUGUUUAGCUGCAACGUCAGGAUGGAAGAUAGGACUAGGCCAUUUUAGCCGUGGUUUCAGAAAUGCUGCUCGGGCCGAGGGGGGAGGCUUGGGCUCACCUGAGGUUGCUGAGGUUGUCCUGGGGGAGGCGGCUGCACACUUCCUGGAGGGCCUCCAGCCGGGCUCCUGGCUCCUUCAGACUGGGUGGCGGGGAGAGACCCGGUGAGCCAGGCCAGGGCCCUGGGGCCCCACCUCUGCAGCCCCGCCCUCCCCGGCAUAAACUCACCUGGCUGCCCUCAUCCAAUCGUCAUAGAGGUCAAAGGUCAUCAAGGGCUCUGGCAGCUCCCGCAGAUAGGACUUGAGGGCACCUGAAGCAGUGGGAGUGGGGGGGCGGGGCUUAGACCCAGUCCCCCAGGCCCCCUACCUCCACGCCAGUGCCCAGCUCUCUCCAUCUGUUGGGAACCAGGCCUUUGUUCCCACUAAUGUGUCUAUAUCUGAUCAUUUCUUUGGGCCAUGGGCCUUUUGGAGAAAAUGCCGAAGGCUGGUGGACCUGGUCCCAGAAAAAUGUACGUACACAUCACGGGCCCCACUUUAAGGACCCCUAUGUCUCCGGAGGUGUCUCCUCGGCAGAUGAUCAGGCCCUCAGCCAAACUAUCACGGGAGCAUUUCAGGCUGUUGAGGGGAAGGGAUCUGGGGGGAAGGCCCUCCUCCCGGGGCUCCUCGGGGCAGGCACCUGCCACGGCGUGGGGGUCGGAGCAGAACUCCUGCAGGCCGCGCGGGUCCGAGGCCAUGGUCUGCUUGAGACGUUUCAGCACCGAGGCCCCAGCGGCCAGGCGGAAGAGGCCCUGGGGUACAAGAGGAAACGGGCGGGGGUCACAGAGGGGCGGCAGGGGAGGACGCCCUGGCCGGGAGGCCCUGGCUCGCUCAGGGUGGGCGCUCGGCCCUCACCGGGCCUGUGUCCCCACCCGGUCUGGUGGGCAGAGUGGGGACCACAGGAUGCGUGGCCACCCUCAACUCUCAAGGUCUAGGACUCGGCGCGAAGUGGGAAGUCUGGGGGCAGCGGGGAAAGCGGUGGGGACACAGGAGUCUGGGUGGGCGCGGAAGGGAGGAAGGAGGCCCGGCAGCACUAUCUAGAAGCCCAGGUCGCUCUGCGAGUAGGUUCCGCGUCUAAGGGUCUGUCCUCGGGGCAGGAGCCUAUAGACCAGCGCCGGCAAGGUGCACGGGACGGAUGAGGACAGUGCGAGGCAGUGACUGCAUGGGGGUCCCUGACACCUUCUCGUGUGCCACUGGGCCCGUGUUCCUCUUGGCCUCCGUCUCUCCCUCGUAAAAUGGAGCUGGUGAAGGCUCCUUCUCAGGGUUUUGGGGAUGACUAAACGGAGCAAGACGUGGAAAGGGUUUAUGGCAUAGCGGCUGCCCAUGAACAUCACUCAGUGGGCCGUGAUGUCAGUUUGGCAGCAGGAGGCCGUGGCCUCACAGGCACCUGUGCUCUAAGGAUUCCGGCCCCCGUGUCCCUUCCAGACCUGCCCCCACGGGCCCCACCUCUUCCUUCAUGCCCUCAGAAAGCAGCAUCAUGACGCAGGCCUCGAUGGGCAGGGCGAUGUCCCGGCCCAGCUCUUGCAAAUGGGUUCCCAGUGACACCCCAUACACCCUGAAGAAGGGGGCGGCCGUCAUCGAGGGGGAGGGGUCUGCAGGGACGAGACAGAUCAAUGGCCCGGGCUCCCCCCCGUCCCUGGACAGCCAGCCCCCGCCCCACCCACCCCCAGACAUCCUCAAGGGCUACUGCUUUGCCCAAUCUCUCUCGAAUCCACCCACCUCCACUGUGUCGCCCCUAGCCCGGGCCAUCACCCCUUCCCUCCUGCCUCUUAAAGGUCUCCUGACUCCUGUUCUGUUCCCCUUCAUUCCAUCACUCUGCACGGCAGAGGGACUUCUCCGUCACAAAUCGAAUCGGAACGCAUCUGCUCAGAACUCAUCCGGGGCUCCCUACUGCCUCCCAGGAUGGAGUGCAAGCAUCUCAACAUGCCCUGAGCAGGGCUGGGGGCGGAGGGGGGGGUGUCCCCUGGGUCCGCCUGGGUCCCCACCUGCUUGGCUGUGGUUCUCCCUCAGCUCAGCCAGGGCCGUGUCCAGUGAGCUCAGAGACUUGCGAUGGUAAUCAGCUUGGAUCUCCAUGAGCUGCGGGGACAAGGGGGUGGCCCCAGGGUGGGUGAGGGAAGCUGAGCCUCCCCCCCGGAGUCCCUAAGAACACACCCCUCCCUCCCACAUCUUGAAGGGUGUCUCAGGGGGCCCCUGGUGUCCACCCCUGAGUUCCACUGGCCGGAGGCCACUCUCGGACUCACGUGGAUGAAGUGGUUGGCAUAUGUGUCCUCCUUGGUGGCGAAGUGGUAAAGGUCGGCCAAGUACUCGUCCUUGGGGACAGAAAGGGGAAGCUGAGGCCUAGAGGGGUUCGUACUCGUCCAAGCUAUACGUGGAAGGCCCCGGCCAACUCUCCUCUCUCUGCCAAGGUUUGCACUUGGGGAUGGCCCACAGGGACCCCCCUCGAACUCUUACAUAUAUAUUGUGUGUUUAGAGAGAGAGAGAGAGAGACAGAGAGAGAGGGAGAGAGAGAGCACAAGCAGGUGAGGGGCCCAGAGAGAGAGAAUCCCAAGCAGGCUCUGCACUGUCAGGGCAGAGCCCGAUGCGGGGCUUGGACCCACGAGCCACGAGAGCAUGACCUGAGUCGAAAUCAAGAGUCAGACGCUUGACCGACUGAGCCACCCCGGCUCUUAAGGGACUUUUAUGGCUUCUAGUCCUCAUCUCUGUGCCCCAUACCCUAAGCACGGUGGCUUGUCUUAGUCACCAUUCAUUCAUCUGCUCACUCAGCAAACACACUGAGACCGUGGUGAGUAGCCCAAGUCCCCGCCUCCCAGGAAUGACGGGUACGGUGUAGACACAAGAGGCCACAAGAUAGUGGCCGAGUGCACACAGCUUGGAGGCUGACGGCCUGGAUUCAAAUCCUGGGCUCUGUUGCUUCCUAGCUGUGUGGCCUUGGGUGAGUCACAUCGCCUCUCUGAGCUUCAGUUCCCUCCCCUGUGAAAUGGGGUCAGUACCUGCCCUCGCCACCCCCUCACGUCCAGAGAACUCCAAGUGCUCCCUCACCUUGCACUGUUCCACCUUCCUCUUCAGUUCCUCCUCCUCCUCCUUCAGCGUCUCCACUUUGGUGGCGGUGGCCGUGUGGCCGUAACUGCCGGGGCCACCGCCCAGGCCCUGACCGCCGCCCGAGUUCUUGGCUGCCUGAGUGAGCCUGGCAACGAUCCCAAGGUGGGGGGGGGGGGUCACUGUCCCCGUUGCAUGUCCAGAGCCAAGUGUCCCUUCCACAUGCCUGACCCCCCAAGGUUUCGGGAUUUAUGGAUGAACAUCCCAGAGCUCUGCUUGCCCUGGGCCUCCGCCCAGCCUGGGCCAUGAGUGCUCAGGGGCUCCCCCUGGUGGUGGGCUUGGUGAUCGCGGCCACCGAGCUCCAGAGUGGAGGGUGGGGGCGUCCUGCAGUCCAGGGAUCUUGGGGGAUCCCUGAUAGCUACCCCAGGCUCUGGAGUCACCCCCGGCUGGCACGCGCACGCGCACACCCAUGUUCAGAGAGGGACUCUCACAUGUACCCUCACAUGUGUUCCUAAAGACCGGAUGAGUCCCCAAGUACACACAGUACCCAGUGGACCCUGCCCCCCGCUGUUCUAGUGUGGGUCCUGUGGCCACCGUUAUGGGCUGAUCUAGGCAUGGACCACCCCCCCACCCCAGGGACCAUGGCUCCCACCUGCUCUUCAGGGUGUUCCAGUCAGACACCAGCUUCUGCAGGCUUUUCUUGUGCUUGAGGAUGGCCGGCAGGGCAGCUCCUCCUGGGGGCAGGUACACGGGGAGGGAGGUGGUCGGUCGGCAGGCUGGGGAGGUGGGAGCCGAGGCUGGGCAAGCUGGGCGGGGAGGGGGCAGGGGGCAGGUCACCUCACUCAGCCUGCUGAGCGGCUGCAGGACAUCCCUCUCCAGAGUCAUCUCAAACUCGGCCAGAAUGCGGGCCAGCUGGUUCUGAAUGGCACAGCUCAUCUCUAAGGCCUUCCUGUGGAUACAACACCGGUGGGCCCAGCCCCCACAGCUCCUCACUCCCGUCCGGAAACACGUGAUGGGGCCUCCUCCCUCCCCGUCACCCCUGCCCCUUCUAUCUGUCCUUCAUCUUGGCUGAGCCAACACCUUCCCAGACCUGGCCGCCCUCACUGACCUGGACGCCGCCCCCCGCCCCCAGCUCAAGACACUAACUACCCCCCAUCCUGGUCACCCGUCCCUCACCUGGAACCCCUCCCAGCCCAGAUCCCCCGCUUGGCACCCCGUUCCUGCUCACCCCAUGCUGGAAUCAGGGUCCAGCUCCUUGAAGCUCUCGGCCAUUGUGGUGGACAGAGCCAUGAGGGGGAGCUUCUUCUGCAGGAAGGGCAGGGUGGGCUGUGAGCAGGGGCCCCCAGUGAGCCUCCCUCCACCCCACCCAAGCACAAGGCAGGCUUCUCGGCGGGGGCGGGGGGGGGGGGGGCGGCGCAGAGCCCCAUCGAGGCACUUGGGUGUGGACAGGGGAAGAGGGAAGCCGGGAGGGCCACAGUCUUAGGUAGGAGUGGAGACCGGAUGAUGACGAGGCCCGGAGGAGUGACAUCUCCCUGUGGCCCCGUCCCCUGACCCCACCCCACCUGGGGUGCCCUUUUCCCCUCCCAGAAACCAAUCAACUGGGCAGGAAGGAAUGACCAAGUACCCUCACACGCUAGGAAACCAAGAACAGAAGGCAAGGAGCUUGCCCAAGGUGACACAGUUGGAAGGAGAAUGAAGGCACUGGGAACACCCGGGAGCCGGGACCUUCCCCUGCCCCAGGGCAUAUGUGGCUGGACUGAGUCACUGCAGAGCUCAAAACCCUCCCACUGAGAGUUACUACGAGCGCCAGCUUGGGCCGGAAAGACCAGGGAUCAAAUCUCAGUUUUGCCAUUUACUAGCUGUGUGACCUUAAGACUUUACCUCUCUGACUUCAUUUCCUCCUCGGUACAAAGUGCUAAUAAGGCAGCCUCCUCCUAGGGGGUGUCGUCGGCAAUUAAGUGAGGCAACGCAUUAACCUAUCUUAGCCGCAGACUAGCGGUAAUCAGUCUACAAAUGCUGUUGAUUAAUACCAGUGAGUAUUAAUAUGUGCCCAACUGCCACUUCCUUCAGGAAGCCCUCCCACACUGCCUCAGUGCAGAGGGCCCGCUCUGCUCUGCUCUGGGUGCAGACUGCAUCGAGAAGUUCAGGUGCUGUCCGAGGCCUGGCCUUGGCUCAGGGGGUUGGUGCAGAUGGGGGCGGGGUCCAAAAGGGGACGGGGAAGAGGCAGAGCCUCAUCAGUACAUGGCCUGAGGGGUCUUGGGACAGAGCAGUCCGGACCCUCUUGGUGUCGGAGGCUCAGACUAGCAGGGGGACCCCAGCCCCGCCCUCCCUCUCCCAUUGGACAGAGGUGUUCGGUCCAGGCCCCUCCUUCCCGGCCCCCGCCACUUACCACCCGCUUGUCCAUGUCUGCCCCGCUCUGGCCCUGCAGACAGGCCUGCAGCCGUUUGUGGACAUUGUGGGCCGCCCGCUUGGCUGGCUCCAACCGCUGCUCCACCUGCGAGGGGGGCUCUGGGUUUAUGCGGCGUGGCAGGUUGUUGCCCCUCCCCCCUCCCCCCCCCCCCCCCCCCCCNNNNNNNNNNNNNNNNNNNNNNNNNNNNNNNNNNNNNNNNNNNNNNNNNNNNNNNNNNNNNNNNNNNNNNNNNNNNNNNNNNNNNNNNNNNNNNNNNNNNNNNNNNNNNNNNNNNNNNNNNNNNNNNNNNNNNNNNNNNNNNNNNNNNNNNNNNNNNNNNNNNNNNNNNNNNNNNNNNNNNNNNNNNNNNNNNNNNNNNNNNNNNNNNNNNNNNNNNNNNNNGUGUUGGGGGGGGGGGGGGAGGAAGGAGCUUCUGCUGAGGCGGCCCGGGUUAGGAAACCCCCUGCCUCCCCCUGCCCCCUCAACAGGGCACCUGGACCCCGAUCGUUCCCAGUGCCCCUCCUCGUUGGAGGCCGCCCUGGGUGGCCCGCCUGCCUGCCUCAUCCCAGUCGGAGCACAUUCCGUGGGGGCGGGAAUAGGAUACAUGACUUUUUCCUCCUCCACCCAGGGCUGUGUCCUGCGAGAGGGCGGAUGAAACCCAAGGCAGUGGAGUUGAGAAGCCACCCCCGGGCCCAGCCUCUGUCUUGUGCUGACCCCAGGGAGAAGGAGGCCAGGGUGGCCCCAAGAACGGGAAGUGUGUGAGCUCACACACUCCUGGGCUGUCAGUCACGCAGGACUCUGGCCUGGGGUGGUCGGCAGGCCCUGGGUCCCCGCCCGGGGACACACGGGACCCUGAGGCCCGGAGCCAGGGGGCCUGACUGCCCAGGCUCACACAGGCAUCUGGGUAGCUGAAGACUAGAGCCAGGUCUCUGGACACCCAGUCCCCUCCCCGGAGGCCCAGAGAACGGGGAAACUCGCAACACAGGGGGCAGAGGAGAGAAAACAGACCCUGGGUGCUCCCCAAACUUCUGGCUUCCACCCCAAGGGCUCAGGGGGUGGCGGGGGGUGGGGGGGGCGGGGGGAGGGAGAACAGAGACCCAGGGAUGUUUCCACCUGAGGCUGGGAAAAGCAGAAGCAAGAGAGAGAAGCUGGAGGCCUCUGGGCUUGGUGGGGGGGAAGAGGCACACAGCCGGACAAGGGAGGCCCCUCAGCCCUCCACGACGGGACCUAGUCUCCUCCCCUCCCCCAGGGUCUGGGGCCCUGAUCGCCCCUCCCCCUCCCUCAGGCAACCAGAGAUGGUCAGCUGUCCCCAUUGUACAGAGGGGACAAGUGAGGCCAGGGAGGAUCAUCCACUCAAGAGGCGCAUGGAGGCAGAGAAGACCCAGGUUCCUUGAUCCUCCCUGCACUCUGCUCCAAUCGGGGUGGGGGUGCCCCUUUCCCCCAAAGGGCCUAGCCCCUCCGGCCAGAGCCCCGGGAGGUGGGGGUGGCAUCCCAGAGGGGAGGGAGAAAGAGAGGGGCUCCGGCCAGUCAGAGGGCGGCUGUCCAGCCGUCCCCGCCUCCCCCACCCCUCAUCCCCUAGGGUCCGGGGCCGGGGGUGAGCUUGGGGCCGGGAAGGCGCGGGUUGACACUCACCGUCCCAAGCUGCCCGUCUGGGCCAGCUGCCGCAUGCGAUGCAGCUGCCUCUUCAUCAUCUUGGGCGCGGGCUGGGGGCCGCGGGGUCACGGUCGGGGGGCGGGGGGGGGGGCGAGGGCCCGGCAGCCCCCGGCCCAGCCUGCCUGCGCCCGCAGUGCCGCUCUCUCCCCGGAUGGGUGGGNNNNNNNNNNNNNNNNNNNNNNNNNNNNNNNNNNNNNNNNNNNNNNNNNNNNNNNNNNNNNNNNNNNNNNNNNNNNNNNNNNNNNNNNNNNNNNNNNNNNNNNNNNNNNNNNNNNNNNNNCCGGCGGCCGCCUGGUCGUCCACAGGUUGUGUGGCGGCCCCGCCCCCGGCCCCGCCCCGCCCAACCCCGGUGGCGGGAAGCAGGUAAGCCGGCUCCGGCCACCCGCGGUGGCCUCUGGGUUCCUGCCCCCCACGCAGGCCUGCCGGCCGUGGGUUUAAAUAACUUUCACACACACACACACACACACACACACACACACACACACACACACACCCUUUUUUUUUUUUUUUAAGUUUCUUUAUUUUGAGAGUCAGAGAAAGAGAGAAAGAGACAGCACGAGAGGGGGAGGGGCAGAGCGAGGGAGAGAGAGACAGAGAGAGAGAGAGAGAGAGAGAGAGGGAGAGAUGGCUGAUGGCGCAGAGCCUGAAGCAGGGGCUCGAUGCCACAAACCCCGAGGUCACGACCUGAGCCGAAAUCAAGAGUCCAGCGCUCAGCCAACUGAGCCACACUUUCGCACCCCUUUUAAAGGAGAAAGAGAGUUCCACGCUUAGGAGGCAGAGGCCAAGGACAGGCCUCUCCAACCUGUACUGGCCCAUCUGGGCCGGCCCAAGGAUGCCGCCCCCGGGUUCCCUCUCCCAAGGAUUCCCUGGCUACCUUGAGCUAAAGGUUACCCCUGCCUGCUUCCCGACUGGAGACUGGCUGGGGACUUUGGCUUCCUGGGGCCACCUUGCUGCUUUGUGCCCUUGGACAAGUCCCGGGAACUCUGGACUUGCCGUCUUCAU